rnacentral:rRNA from 1 species
GACGUAGGAGGCGAGCGUUGUCCGGAUUCAUUGGGCGUAAAGAGCGCGCAGGCGGCUUGGUAAGUCGGAUGUGAAAUCCCGAGGCUCAACCUCGGGUCUGCAUCCGAUACUGCCCGGCUAGAGGUAGGUAGGGGAGAUCGGAAUUCCUGGUGUAGCGGUGGAAUGCGCAGAUAUCAGGAGGAACACCGAUGGCGAAGGCAGCUCGCUGGGACGGUACUGACGCUGAGGCGCGAAAGCGUGGGGAGCGAACAGG